rnacentral:rRNA from 1 species
AUUGAACGCUGGCGGCAGGCCUAACACAUGCAAGUCGAGCGAGCGGCGGACGGGUGAGUAAUGCCUGGGAAUGGCCAAGUCGAGGGGGAUAACAGGUGGAAACGACUGCUAAUACCGCAGACGAGUGGAUUGCCCAGGUGGGGUUAGCGAGUUGGUGAGGGAAUGGCUCACCAAGGCGACGAUCCCUAGCUGGUCUGAGAGGUGGAUCAGCCACACUGGAACUGAGACACGGUCCAGACUCCUGCGGGAGGCAGCAGUGGGGAAUAUUGCACAAUGGGGGAAACCCUGAUGCAGCCAUGCCGCGUGUGUGAAGAAGGCCUUCGGGUUGUAAAGCUCUUUCAGCGAUGAGGCGUUACUCGCAGAAGAAGCACCGGCUAACUCCGUGCCAGCAGCCGCGGUAAUAC